rnacentral:rRNA from 1 species
GUUUUAUAAUUUAUUUUAUUUAUUUUUUAUGUUUAAUUAUUAUAUUUAAAUUUUAUAAAUUAUUUUAUUGGGGUGAUAGAAAAAUUAAAAAAACUUUUUUUAAAAUUAAAUCAUAUAUAAGUGAAUAAAUGAUCCAAAAUUUUUGAUUAUAAGAAAAAAU